rnacentral:rRNA from 1 species
GACGAACGCUGGCGGCGUGCUUAACACAUGCAAGUCGAACGGAAAGGCCCUGCUUUUGUGGGGUGCUCGAGUGGCGAACGGGUGAGUAACACGUGAGUAACCUGCCCUUGACUUUGGGAUAACUUCAGGAAACUGGGGCUAAUACCGGAUAGGAGCUCCUGCUGCAUGGUGGGGGUUGGAAAGUUUCGGCGGUUGGGGAUGGACUCGCGGCUUAUCAGCUUGUUGGUGGGGUAGUGGCUUACCAAGGCUUUGACGGGUAGCCGGCCUGAGAGGGUGACCGGCCACAUUGAGACUGAGAGACGGCCGAGACUCCUAAGGGAGGCAGCAGUGGGGAAUCUUGCACAAUGGGCGGCAGCCGGAUGCAGCAACGCCGCGUGCGGGAUGACGGCCUUCGGGGUGUAAACCGCUUUCGCCUGUAACGAAGCGUGAGUGACGGUAAUGGGUAAAGAAGCACCGGCUUACUACGUG